UCAUUAUAUAAAAAAAAAAUUUUAAUAUGUACCCAAUGUCACACCCCGGAUUACACGUUCCCCGGGCACACCGACAAAUCCGCCGUACACAAUUCUGUAUACGAAGCGUAGCUGUACCUGUAAAACAUACAAUACUAUAACCAGUAGUAUAGAGCUGCUAGGAAACAAAACAUAAUCAGUAGAAAAAAACAGUUCACUAUACAUACAACGUCCAGUAUACAAAAACUCGCCCAGCGAGAUACAGUAAAAGUAUGUAUAUGAACUCAAAAACUAUACUACCUGCAGCGGGUAAUCCUCUAGCUCGGCGACUCGUCGGGUAGGGCUCUAGCUCCCAACGCCCUUGUCACGAUCUGCCUCAGAAGAUGCAGCAGCCGGAACUGAAGGCUCUGCAAAAGAAGAGUAACAACUGGGCGUGAGAACUACUGUAAACACA
rnacentral:lncRNA from 1 species